AUGAUCUCACAGGCUCAGCUCAUCUGGCUGUUAGUGCUCUGGGUCACAGACUCCAGUGGGCAGAUUGUGAUGACUCAGACUCCAGAAUCCCUGGCAGUGUCUCCUGGAGACACAGUCACUAUCCGCUGCAAAGCCAGUUCCAGUGUCACCAGUGGUAGUACUCACUUUGUAAACUGGUACCAACAGAAAUUAGGACAAGCACCGAAGCUCCUUAUUUAUUAUGCAUCCACCCGCACUUCUGGGGUCCCAGAUCGAUUCAGCGGCAGUGGGUCUGGCACCGACUUCACAUUCACCAUCAGCAGGGUUGAAGCGGAUGAUGCUGGAGAGUAUUACUGUCAGCAGCAUUAUGAUACCCCUCUCACACAAGGUCCCAGGUUCAAAUCUGACUGGUGGAAGUUACAUUAA